rnacentral:rRNA from 1 species
ACGGAGGGUCCGAGCGUUAUCCGGAAUCAUUGGGUUUAAAGGGUCCGUAGGCGGGCCGUUAAGUCAGGGGUGAAAGCCCGCGGCUCAACCGCGGGACUGCCCUUGAUACUGGCGGUCUUGAAUCACGGCGGAGUGGGCGGAAUGUGUAGUGUAGCGGUGAAAUGCAUAGAUAUUACACAGAACACCGAUCGCGAAGGCAGCUCACUAGCCGUGCAUUGACGCUGAGGGACGAAAGCGUGGGGAGCGAACAGG